GUGGGACACGUUAUGCGGGGUAAGAUUAAAUCCAUAUCGAAGAGCCACAGGCGUAUGGGAGAAAGUUCAGCUGGUGUUCGUGUCGCCAUGAUGGUGCCAGCUUGUUAGUGUCCAUCGAGGGAGACAUUCCGCUUCAUCCUGACGAGGCAUUCUGUCAGACUACCUCCUCAAGGACCUUCAUAAAAACAAAAGCGUGGGCGGAUGGACCAAGGACGACCCCUCCUGCCCGGUGGAGCAGUUCUAUCCUGAGUUUAAUGAGUGGAGGACAGCGGCUCGCAUGGUCAAGCAGCGGGGUGACGUGGCCGUCGGCACCCUGGACGACAAGAUGUACACAGUGGGUGGGCAAGACAACAUCCGAUGCUACAAUAAUGUGGAGAGGUACAACCCAGACACAGACAGCUGGAGUGCGGAUGUAGCACCCUUGAGCAGCCCCCGCAGUGGAGUGUGCGUGGUGGCCAUGGACGGAUACUUGUACGCUAUUGGAGGACACGAUGGGAUUGCGGCCAUAAAUACCGUGGAGAGGUACUGCGGCC